rnacentral:lncRNA from 1 species
CCUUCAUUUCUGUGAGAAAAGGAGACUCCUGCCAUCCACAGGGCCAUGAGAGAAUAGGGUAGUUAGUUUUGUUUGACAGUCACUGUGCAGAACGCCAGGCUGUAACUUGCCCACCGCCACUCACAGCUCCUUACAUGCACUCUGUCUGUUGACUGACCCUGCUCUCCUCACAUUCACUAGGGUGGUGACUGCAGAGGCAGGCCUGGCUCCUUGAGCAGCACUACCUCUGACAUUCGCUGGAACUCAACAAAUGAAGGAAAAAAGAUACAAAACUUAAAUACUAGAAUCUGUGCCUUGCUGAUGCUUACCUGACGAUAGUUGUUUACUUGGCUUCCUUUGGGUUCGGUUGUCUGCACUAGCAGCCAUUCCCCGUGGCAGCUUGCACAUGCUCACUGUCGGAGGAAAGUGCUUUAAUGCACCAUGAAUCUGCAAGUGAACACCAGUGUUGAUUUAGAAAAAAAGUAAGAGGUGAGGUUGACAGAAGCAUGAAGUCCAAUAAAGCCUCUAUUUCUUUUAUUCCAGAAGAAACCAGAAGGCCGCCCUGUGGGUCCCCAGCUUAUGCAGGAACUUUUAGACAGAACAGUUUCCUCACACUUUGACAUGAUGUCACUGUUCUCUUAUAUAAGGGUCUAUAUUCUUUUCCAUUUGUUAAAAUAAAUGAGAAAGUCUCCUUGUAUGGAAAAUGCACCCUUUUAGGAAGGAAAAUAAAAUGUAAUUUGUAAUUAAUUAGUAGAAGAUCAAUGAGAUACAAAACCUAAUAAGAGAAGGAAAUAUGCUGACUG